CGCACGAUUAAUUUAUAGCAACACAUCUAAUCCCCUGUUAUAUUUACUCUAUUGGUAAAUACAUAAACUUCCACGAAAACUUUAUGCAAAUUACACAAAGUUUCGAAAAAAUAAAAUACGUAGAUGCAAUGUACAGUAAACGAGAGAUCGAAAGCACGUAUAUAUCGGCGUUUUUUAAUCUACUACACUACGUUCAUAGUGUAAUUGAUUUAAAUGGUUGACGGUAACGAAGAUUUAUCGAUAUUUUUCUUCGGAACGAAUAUAAUUUUUGCCAGUCGACAGAAUUCGAACGACGAGAUAAAAGGAACGAAACUGCGUUCCCCAUUAUACCUCUGGAGACAAUCAAAACGUCAUUAGAGCAUGCGCACUCAUCAACUAUCCGGGAACUGUUGGUCGAAGGAAGGAACUGGGUCAGUAGGACUCAAUACAAAUCGCUUUAAAUUUGAUAGAAAGUUUUUCAAUUUUGUUAAUACGACGAAUUAAUAUAGGAUUUUAAAUACUCUAGAGUCUUCCGAUCGGCGCGGAUGAUGCCGUUAACGUUAGUUUGAGGUGAUUUUAUUUUCUUGGAUAAGCCAAACGCAUGAUUUGAUUCUUGGAAAGAAGACAAGGAUCAAGCAGAUGUGAUAAAAGAUUGACUUGGAUCCCUGCAAGUGGAUUGCAAUUGGAUACAUACACAAAAUACAAUUUUACAGUUAGUCUGUUAUCUAUAAUCAACAAGAGAAAACACACCUGGAUAAUAAGUUUUCAGUCAACUGACAUCUACACAAAAUAUAUUAAAACUUCAGUCAAUUACACUUCAAGAAAUGAUAUAACUUGCAUAAAUGAAAACCAGUACAAAUGAAUUCAAAAUAUACAUCUCACUGUAUCAUAUGAUACAAAUACAUACUUCCAUAAAUAGAAGUUUAUAAUUUUGUAUUUGUAUUUUAACUGUCAAAAAGAUAACCAAUAUUUUACCUAACUGUACAUGUAUGUAUUCAGUGCAUUCAAAAAAUAAUUUUAAACUGAAUUUGUAUUCCAUUUUAAUUUUUUCAUUUAGU